rnacentral:lncRNA from 1 species
ACCCAGUCUCACUCUGUCACUCAGGCUGAAGUGCAGUGGCAUGAUCUUGGCUCAUUGCACCCUCUGCCUCCUGGGUUCAAGCGAUUCUCCUACCUCAGUCUCCCGAGUAGCUGGAAUUACAGCAGGUCACUGUGUUUCAGAGGAGGUGGAGAUGCAAACAAUUACAAAUUCAUGUGAUCUUUGCCUCAAUGGAGGCAUCAUUUAGAGGCAUUGCCCCCAAAACACUGUGCCUGAGAGAGAGCAUCCUGCAGUUCAUGUAAUGAAAAGACCUGGCAUGAGACAGUGGAGCAGGACAGCUAUGGACCCCAAACUCAAAGGAAGUACACAGUGGCAUAUGAGUUAAAUUAAUUCAGACAACUUGAGUAGAAACACAGUUUCCUAAGGAAAUAAA